rnacentral:rRNA from 1 species
GACGAACGCUGGCGGCGUGCUUAACACAUGCAAGUCGAGCGGUAAGGCCCUUUCGGGGGUACACGAGCGGCGAACGGGUGAGUAACACGUGGGUGACCUGCCUCUAGCUCUGGGAUAAGCCUGGGAAACUGGGUCUAAUACCGGAUAUGACUCCACGGCGCAUGUUGUGGGGUGGAAAGCCUUGUGUGGCUAGAGAUGGGCCCGCGGCCUAUCAGCUUGUUGGUGGGGUGAUGGCCUACCAAGGCGACGACGGGUAGCCGGCCUGAGAGGGCGA